GAUGAACGCUGGCGGCGUGCCUAAUACAUGCAAGUAGAACGCUGAAGGAGGAGCUUGCUCUUCUGGAUGAGUUGCGAACGGGUGAGUAACGCGUAGGUAACCUGCCUGGUAGCGGGGGAUAACUAUUGGAAACGAUAGCUAAUACCGCAUGACAACAGUUAUUGCAUGAUAACUGUUUAAAAGGGGCAACUGCUCCACUACCAGAUGGACCUGCGUUGUAUUAGCUAGUUGGUGAGGUAACGGCUCACCAAGGCGACGAUACAUAGCCGACCUGAGAGGGUGAUCGGCCACACUGGGACUGAGACACGGCCCAGACGCCUACGGGAGGCAGCAGUAGGGAAUCUUCGGCAAUGGACGGAAGUCUGACCGAGCAACGCCGCGGGAGUGAAGAAGGUUUUCGGAUCGUAAAGCUCGGUUGUAAGAGAAGAACGAGUGUGAGAGUGGAAAGUUCACACUGUGACGGUAUCUUACCAGAAAGGGACGGCUAACUACGUG
rnacentral:rRNA from 1 species